ACUAGAAAGGAAAAAAAGAGGAGAGAAGUAAUUAAAGAGACAUCAGAGCCCUCUUUUGUUUCUAUAUCGAUAACAAAUACCAGUGAUGACACACCCUCGUAGUGCAUCUAGUUUUUCAACUUGACAUUCUUCAAUAUGACCAUACAUGGUGAAACUGUUGUGUCAAUUCAUGAUUGGCUGUAAGUAAACUCAACAGAGUAUAAAUGAAAGGGGAAAGGGAUUGUCCCAGAGAGAUCCUGUCUCCUGCACAGAGACAUCACAUCAGCUGACACCAGUUUACGCUGAAGUUGCAUAGCGACAUCACCGACGCUGCCUGAGCCGCCACAGACUUGAUUUGGAGUCGUCAUCCAAUGCAAAAAAGUAGCCAGCUGGGAAGUCCGGGGGCCUGACUCAAAACAACAAAGUAAGAUGGCUGCUCAUGCAUUUGAAUACCCUGAAAACUGAUACCCCUGGGAAAAGGAAAAAAGAAAAAGAAAGAAUAUUGAAAAGAGAGGAAAACACGCUCUAUUAUGAUACUGGCAGAAACAACAGAAGAUGCAACGUAAUUUUCUUCAGUAAUCAUACAGAAGAUUGGCAAAAUCAACUUUUGAACAUUGAAGAUAACAGAAACCAAAUCAGUACACUUAAAUUCUGACAUUGACUGCAUAUCUGUAUAUUCUUCUGGAAAGGUUGUGGUAACUGGCAAGGAGCAAAUGUACAUGGCUGAAAGGGAUUUUGAAACAAUGGAAGAAGAAAAUUUUCAAGAGACACCUCAGCAGCCAGAAAAGGAAAAGACGUAGACGUAGACGUAAAAGAAGGCAAACUAAAACUAAAACUAAAACUAAAACUAAAACUAAAAAUAAAACUAAAACUAAAAAAUAAAUAAAAAAAAAAAAAAAAAAAUAAUGGAGCAAUGGGUAAGGAUACGCCCUCCACUCCAGAUAACCCCUCCACUCCAGAUAACCCCAGCCCCCCUCCAUCUCCACCCCAACCACCAACCCAUAGUGAGAGUAAUAACAGACAGGAGAAAACACACAAAAGUGAUCCUAAAUAACUGAAUAUGUCCCCCGCCCAAACUAUUUUAUUUAAUUGGUAACUGGGUUGUAAAAUCAAUUGCUUUUUGUCUGUCUGCAGGUUAUGGAGAAAGUAAAGGGCAGUCUAGUACUCACUGAGCAGGUGAUAGUUUGAGUCUCUCUCAUAUUUGAAGGUCAGUCUUCCAUAGCUGACAUGGUUGAGAUUCUUCAGCCACUCGAAAUAAGACACUGUCACACCUCCAGCAUUAAGGUACAUAUCCUGCAGGAUAAAACAUCCAGAAACUCAGACAUCUGCCUGUUUGGAACACUUUUCACUCUUCUGUGUGUAGAAUUAUUCUGAUUAACUUUCCUCUGUACUGCAAAACGUACCACUUUGUGAGAUUUGAUUUGGGAAGAAAAUUAAUUUUGGGUAUAAAAAAAAUAAAGAGAUUGAAAUAAACGAUGAAAAUGAAAA